UACGUAGGGUGCAAGCGUUAAUCGGAAUUACUGGGCGUAAAGCGUGCGCAGGCGGUUAUGUAAGACAGAUGUGAAAUGCCCGGGCUUAACCUGGGAACUGCAUUUGUGACUGCAUGGCUAGAGUUUGGCAGAGGGGGGUAGAAUUCCACGUGUAGCAGUGAAAUGCGUAGAUAUGUGGAGGAACACCGAUGGCGAAGGCAGCCCCCUGGGUCAAGACUGACGCUCAUGCACGAAAGCGUGGGGAGCAAACAAGG
rnacentral:rRNA from 1 species